AACAGCUCAAAUUUGAAAUCUGGCCCCCUCGGGGCCCGAGUUGUAAUUUGUAGAGGAUGUUUCGGGUGUGGCUCCGGUCUAAGUUCCUUGGAACAGGACGUCAUAGAGGGUGAGAAUCCCGUAUGUGACUGGCAGCCUACGCCCAUGUGAAACUCCUUCGACGAGUCGAGUUGUUUGGGAAUGCAGCUCAAAAUGGGUGGUAAAUUUCAUCUAAAGCUAAAUAUUGGCCAGAGACCGAUAGCGCACAAGUAGAGUGAUCGAAAGAUGAAAAGCACUUUGGAAAGAGAGUUAAACAGUACGUGAAAUUGUUGAAAGGGAAGCGCUUGCAACCAGACUUGCGUGCGGCCGAUCAUCCGGUGUUCUCACCGGUGCACUCGGUCGUGCUCAGGCCAGCAUCGGUUUCGGCGGCUGGAUAAAGGCCAUGGGAAUGUAGCUCCUCUCGGGGAGUGUUAUAGCCCGUGGUGCAAUGCAGCCCGCUGGGACCGAGGACCGCGCUUCGGCUAGGAUGCUGGCGUAAUGGUUGUAAGCGACCCGUCUUGAAACACGGACCAAGGAGUCUAACAUCUAUGCGAGUGUUUGGGUGUCAAACCCAUACGCGGAAUGAAAGUGAACGGAGGUGAGAACCCUUAAGGGUGCAUCAUCGACCGAUCCUGAUGUCUUCGGAUGGAUUUGAGUAAGAGCAUAGCUGUUGGGACCCGAAAGAUGGUGAACUAUGCCUGAAUAGGGUGAAGCCAGAGGAAACUCUGGUGGAGGCUCGCAGCGGUUCUGACGUGCAAAUCGAUCGU
rnacentral:rRNA from 1 species